GGUUGUGUAGUGUAGCGGUUAUCACUCCGGAUUCUGAUCAUUAGAAACUUCCGGCAACCCCGGUUCGAUUCCGGGCACGACCU
rnacentral:tRNA from 1 species